UUCACAGGUGAUGGAUUUGUUUUCUAGUCUGGGAAGAUGAUCAACAAAACUGCUUGCAGAUAUUUAGGAGAUGUCUUUUGGAGCACGCGAAGAUGCAUUGAUGUUUGAUAUUUCAAUCUAUUGGGGGAGGAGCCAAGAUGGCGGAAGAGUAUGGAAGUUUUUUGUGUGUCUUGCGUCCAUGAAAUACAACCAGACCAACACUAAACCAUCCAACACACUUAGAAAACUGAUUGGAGGAUUAACACAACAAUCUGCACAACCUGAACCACAGUAUUCAGCAGAGAGAGUGAGAGACAGAGACACCAGUGGGGGCAGGGCCCAGAGAGAGAUGGAGACACAGAAUCUGAAGCAGGCUCCAGGCUCCAGAGCUGUCAGCACAGUGCCCGAUGUGGGGCUUGAACUCAUGGACCAUGAGAUCAUGACCUGGGCCAAAGUCAGACGCCUAACCAACUGAGACACCCAGGUACCUCUAAGUGUUACAUUUAAAUCUGCGAUCCAUUUUGUAUUAAUUUUUGUGUAAGGUGUGAGGAUGGGGUUCGACUUCAUUCUUACAUGUAUCCCAUUGUCACAGUACCAUUUUCAAAACAAAACUUGAUCUUAUCAACAACUAGCCCCUGUCUCCUCUCAUACAUACUUACAUGCACACACAGACACACCCUUGAACAGUUUCCCAUUUCUCUCAGCCAA